rnacentral:rRNA from 1 species
CAGUAGCCGCGGUAAUACGUAGGUGGCAAGCGUUGUCCAGAAUUAUUGGGCGUAAAGGGCUCGCAGGCGGUUUCUUAAGUCUGAUGUGAAAGCCCCCGGCUCAACCGGGGAGGGUCAUUGGAAACUGGGAAACUUGAGUGCAGAAGAGGAGAGUGGGAUUCCACGUGUAGCGGUGAAAUGCGUAGAGAUGUGGAGGAACACCAGUGGCGAAGGCGACUCUCUGGUCUGUAACUGACGCUGAGGAGCGAAAGCGUGGGGAGCGAACCGGAUUAGAUACCCCAGUAGUCCCUGUCUCUUAUAC